CUACGGGUCGCAGCAGUGAGGAAUUUUGCGCAAUGGGGGGAACCCUGACGCAGCAACGCCGCGUGGAGGAUGACGCAUUUCGGUGUGUAAACUCCUUUUAUAUGUCAAGAAAAUGACGGUAGCAUAUGAAUAAGCACCGGCUAACUCCGUGCCAGCAGCCGCGGUAAUACGGAGGGUGCAAGCGUUACUCGGAAUCACUGGGCGUAAAGGACGCGUAGGCGGGUUGGAAAGUCAGGUGUGAAAUCCUACAGCUUAACUGUAGAACUGCACUUGAAACUUCUAAUCUAGAGUAUGGGAGGGGGAGAUGGAAUUAGUGGUGUAGGGGUAAAAUCCGUAGAUAUCACUAGGAAUACCUAAAGCGAAGGCGAUCUCCUGGAACAUUACUGACGCUAAGGCGUGAAAGCGUGGGGAGCAAACAGGAUUAGAUACCCGGGUAGUC
rnacentral:rRNA from 1 species